rnacentral:rRNA from 1 species
GAACGCUAGCUACAGGCUUAACACAUGCAAGUCGAGGGGAAACGGCAUUAAGUGCUUGCACUUUUUGGACGUCGACCGGCGCACGGGUGAGUAACGCGUAUCCAACCUUCCCAUGACUAAGGGAUAACCUGCCGAAAGGCAGACUAAUACCUUAUGGUCUUCACUGACGGCAUCAGAUGUGAAGUAAAGAUUUAUCGGUUAUGGAUGGGGAUGCGUCUGAUUAGUUAGUUGGCGGGGUAACGGCCCACCAAGGCAACGAUCAGUAGGGGUUCUGAGAGGAAGGUCCCCCACAUUGGAACUGAGACACGGUCCAAACUCCUACGGGAGGCAGCAGUGAGGAAUAUUGGUCAAUGGGCGAGAGCCUGAACCAGCCAAGUAGCGUGCAGGAUGACGGCCCUAUGGGUUGUAAACUGCUUUUGUAUGGGGAUAAAGUCAAUCACGUGUGAUUGUUUGCAGGUACCAUACGAAUAAGGACCGGCUAAUUCCGUGCCAGCAGCCGCGGUAAUACGGAAGGUCCGGGCGUUAUCCGGAUUUAUUGGGUUUAAAGGGAGCGUAGGCUGGAGAUUAAGUGUGUUGUGAAAUGUAGACGCUCACCGUCUGACUUGCAGCGCAUACUGGUUUC